CGGGGAAGGGCUGCCGGCACUCGGGGCACGCCUUCUCGCAGCGUUUCCACCAGUCCCGGAUGCAGGCCCCGCAGAAGUUGUGGCCGCAGAGCAGCGUCACCGGGUCCUGGUAGAGCCCCAGGCAGAUGGCGCAGACCCUCAGUCCAGCAGCUCCUGUGCGUGGAAUCCGGCCCCAGGCUCUGGAGACAAAAGGAGCCCUGGGAAACUCCUCAGACCUCCAGGCCUUCUGGCUGGGGGCCACCACGGGACCUCUUCUGAGCCCCUUACCUGAAAAUCUAAUACUAAUAAUACUAGCAACAACAA